GUUCUUGCCUUAUUCAUUGGGUCACUGAUCUAUCUAUUUCUCUCCAGAAUCUUGAUAAAAUCGCUUCUCACUCCACCGACUUUUCUUGCAUUCUGUUUUCCAGCCAGAACACCCUUUCACGCCAUGGAUCUUGAACCGGAAGAGCUCCAAUUCUUAACCAUACCAGAAAUUUUGAGGGAAUCAAUUGCAAUCCCCAAACGUUCUCCAAAAACCUUCUACCUCAUAACCCUAACCCUAAUUUUCCCUCUUUCUUUUGCCAUCUUAGCCCAUUCUCUCUUUACUCACCCUCUCUUGGCUCAACUUGAAGACCACCCAUCAGCUGAUCCCAAUCAAACCCGCCAUGAAUGGACCCUUCUCAUGAUCUUCCAGUUCUGUUAUCUAAUCUUUCUUUUUGCUUUCUCUCUGUUCUCAACAGCUGCUGUUGUUUUCACUGUUGCCUCUCUUUACACAUCCAAGCCUGUGACUUUCUCUUCUACCAUUUCUGCUAUACCCAGGGUUUUCAAGCGCUUGUUUAUUACGUUUUUGUGGGUGUCUUUGUUGAUGUUGCUUUAUAACUCUGUAAUCCUUAUCUUCUUGGUCAUUUUCGUUAUUGCCGUCGAUUCCCAGAACGUCGUUUUGCUCUUUUUAUCUCUGGUGGUGAUUUUCGUGUUCUUCUUGGUUGUCCAUGUGUAUAUAACUGCUUUAUGGCACUUGGCUAGUGUGGUUUCUGUGCUUGAGCCCAUUUAUGGGAUUGCCGCAAUGAAGAAGAGCUAUGAGUUGCUAAAGGGAAGGGCUCGUAUGGCUGCGGUGCUUGUGUUUGGG
rnacentral:misc_RNA from 1 species